ACUCUGGUAUUGAUUGGUGCUUGCAUCAUGAUUUACAUUUGAGUGAGUGGCGAACUGGUGAGUAACACGUGGGAAACCUGCCCAGAAGCGGGGGAUAACACCUGGAAACAGAUGCUAAUACCGCAUAACAACUUGGACCGCAUGGUCCGAGUUUGAAAGAUGGCUUCGGCUAUCACUUUUGGAUGGUCCCGCGGCGUAUUAGCUAGAUGGUGGGGUAACGGCUCACCAUGGCAAUGAUACGUAGCCGACCUGAGAGGGUAAUCGGCCACAUUGGGACUGAGACACGGCCCAAACUCCUACGGGAGGCAGCAGUAGGGAAUCUUCCACAAUGGACGAAAGUCUGAUGGAGCAACGCCGCGUGAGUGAAGAAGGGUUUCGGCUCGUAAAACUCUGUUGUUAAAGAAGAACAUAUCUGAGAGUAACUGUUCAGGUAUUGACGGUAUUUAACCAGAAAGCCACGGCUAACUACGUGCCAGCAGCCGCGGUAAUACGUAGGUGGCAAGCGUUGUCCGGAUUUAUUGGGCGUAAAGCGAGCGCAGGCGGUUUUUUAAGUCUGAUGUGAAAGCCUUCGGCUCAACCGAAGAAGUGCAUCGGAAACUGGGAAACUUGAGUGCAGAAGAGGACAGUGGAACUCCAUGUGUAGCGGUGAAAUGCGUAGAUAUAUGGAAGAACACCAGUGGCGAAAGCGGCUGUCUGGUCUGUAACUGACGCUGAGGCUCGAAAGUAUGGGUAGCAAACAGGAUUAGAUACCCUGGUAGUCCAUACCGUAACGAUGAUGCUAGUGUUGGAGGGUUUCGCCCUUCAGUGCUGCAGCUAACGCAUAAGCAUCCGCUAGAGUACGCGCAGCUGAACUCAAGAUGACGGG
rnacentral:rRNA from 2 species